GCUUGCUGUCAAUAAAUAUGUGGGUAAAUCUCUGUUUGGGGCUCUCAGCUCUGAAGGCUGUGAGACCCGAUUUCCCACUCCACACUCUGUAUUUCUGUGUGAGUGUCUUUAAUUCCUCUGGCGCCGCUGGGUUAGGGUCUCCACGACUGAGCUGAUCUCAGUAUCUACCACAUUCUGCUUUAUUCUCUUCUCUAGGGUAAGAAAAAUCACAAUACAUGGGUAUUCAAUAAAAUUCAAUUAAUUUAAGCCUGACUCUUGAGAAUGUGCAAUUGAAGGUUAUGAAUGUGUCACACCUAAGGUGGUGGUAGAAGUCUCUGGCACAUGGAAAAUGCCUGUUUUAACUUUUAGCUAUUUUUUUCAGGUUUUUGUCAUUAGAAUAUUUCUUCUGUUUCUACUGCAAAUAACUAUCAAAAAGGAAAAGAACAACUAGGAUGGCCUCCCCUGUUUAUCAUUGGCCCUACAAUUUUCUAGGAGUAAUAUCUUUUUGGAAUUAUGUAAUGUCCUCUGCUAAUGACAGUGUAUAGAUGCUAUUACAUUUCCUUGGGGGACAAAGUACUGUUGUCUGGAAGCUUUGAGAUUAAUGUAACACAAAGUAAAUAAGGAAGCGUUUUGCAUAUUCUUAGAUUUUUACAUUUUUAUUUUAAAACAGAGAAUUUCAUAUUGAUUAACACCUACUACUAAACAGAAUGAUGCAUUAAUUAAAUGCCUUGUCCUAACUGUUAUAAGCUCUGUUAGAAAAAUAAACAUCUCACCACAAACUACAGUGUCAGCUCUUUAAUAAAUACAUAAAACAGAAGUUAGUAGUCAAUCAGAGUUAUAUGAACAGGUUCAUAGUAUAUUAUGUGAAAGUAUCAUAUUCUCCAAUAUUCUGUAUCAUUUAAGACAAUUUAAGUUACGUAUAAUUCAAAGCCAGAAAUAAUAAGAAAUAUGUUCAGUGAUAAUUUGCUUCUUUCUUAGAGCUAUUUUAUAUUCAAAUAUUUAAUUUAAAAAUAUAUUCUAUAUUAAAUUUAUUUUUACAAACGCAGUAUUCGUUAGGUGAAACAAAAUAAGUUUUUAUGUUACUGAUAAGUUUAAUACAUUUCUAAUUUUUUUCAGAAGUUCAAGAAACCAUAAUGAAGUAGCUAAUGUAAAAUAGUUUAAAAGCUAUGUUAAAUAUACACAAAAUGAAUUUCUAUAUUAAUAUGUGCAAAUGUAUAUUUUCUUAUAAUUUAGAAUUAAAGUACUUUAUACUCAAUAUUCUUAAUAAAAUUUAUGUACCAUACUUGUCAUUGCGUAGACUUCUUAUCAAAAUUUCACAUUUAUCUGUAGGAAAAUGUAAAGUUGGUAAAAAUUGUUUACACAAAUCACACAUUUUCCAUCCUUGACAAUUGCAGUGUUUUUUUUUUAAAUAUUGCUGUAUUAGACAAUUUUAACUGAAGUAGGUUGUAGAGGCUAGAAGAAACCUGAUUAAUAGAGUUAGCUUACAAAGAUAAAUUUUAUGCAGAAAAGUAUUCCAGGUAGAUAAAAGAGUAGUGUUAUUACUCUCAGGUUUACAUUAACAGCUGCCCAGAUAGCUGAACAAUUAUUUCAUAUAAUUCAAAUAUAUUAGGCUUAUUAAGCUUGAAGCUUUAGGAAAUCUCUUGGGAAGAGUGAGUGGAAAAAACAGGAGUAAGAAAAGGAAGAAAAAGCCUUUGAGUCUAAUCUACUCUACCAGGUUCCAGGAAGAAUAUAAUUCUACAGAGAAAAUUCUUCAUAAUCUAUCAUAAUAUAUUUCAGUGUCUGAUGGCUGACUCUUGUCUUGCAUAAAGAUAUCUUCAGUGGAUAUUAAGUAAAUAUUAAAAAUAUAUUUCAGAUUCAUUCUUUGAAGGAUUGCAUCUCAUGCAUCCACAAAUUUUAAUGUUGAGUUUUGGAAAAUUGCCUCCAGAGAUAUCUACUGUGUUUAAUCUUAGAUUUUUUUUUUAUUUUAAUAAACCAAAGAUAAACUGAACAUUUAAGACAUAAUCAGAUUUUUAGUGAAUUUUUAAGUCCUCCAGAAAAGUCUAUGACUUAAUAAAUAUUAGCAAGUUUCCAAAAAUAUAACAAAUGUUUAUAAAUACGUGUGCACUGCAGUGCAAUGGUGUCCCCAGAGAAAUAAAAUGCAUAACAAAGCAAAUGUUAUGUUGUAGUGUAUGUAUGGCACAUUUAUAAAUCAUUACAUACUUUAGGGCACAAAAAUGCUGCAGUACUAAAAGUGUUGUUCAAGUUCUCAAUUCUGUUAACAAUUUAAAAUUUCAUUAAUUGUGUUUAAUAUCAAUGAAUCUCAAAAGGCUCCUGUGGCCAUAUUAGUUGAAAAUAGACUCUAUUUGCAUACAUUAUUUAACCUAAGAGUACCCUGUGUUCCCUUACCAUUUAAUUAAUUCUAACUAGUCAAAUAUUAAUUCUCAUCUCACAAAUCAUUACACAGGAAGAUAUCAAUUAUUCAAGUAAAAUACAAGCCCUACAAUCUUUAAAAAUUAGCUUUUUAAGUAAAAACAAAAAAGAUAAGCACAAGACUUUGCAAGCAUAACCACAAUCAUCGUCUAACACUGAGUUGCCUACAAGGAAGUUUGUCCCUUCCUAUGGUAACAGCCUUGGUCCACUAUAAAGUUAGUGCAAACAAGUGAGGGUAUAAAAAAAAUAUAAACUCUGGAUUUUUAAGGAUUUCAUUUUGUUAUACUCUUUUUGGAUAAUUCAUUCCAUACGGAAAUUUGUUUAUUGUUCAUAAAUAUCAUAAUGUUCAUUUCAAAAAUUGUCAUCAUCUUAAUGGCUAUCUUACACUUUUUUCUUUUGGAGGGUUGUCAGGCAUCCAUCCAUUUUCCUUUUUAAGAAGAACGUUAUGUGUAUUAGGCUACUAAACCCAAUUUUUACAUUAUUUUUAGUGAUCAAAGGUUUCUUAUACAAGUGACUCACAGUACUGAAUUAUGUCAAUCUCUCAUUUGAGGAAGGAAAUGCAGUUCAAGUUAGCAUUGAAAGUGCUUGGCUGUAGAGGACAUCUAACAGAGCUGCUGUGUUUAUUGGCUCCAGAACAACUUAUUAUAGGUUUUUCAGUUCUCUUUAGGGUAGAAUAUGAGAUGGGGUUAGUCUUCAUCAAAAUGCAGUAUCUAGUACUUUAACUCAAGUGCUGGAAGACAGCAAAUCUUGGAAGUUUAUUAUAAAAAAAAAGAUAUUUCGGAUAGAUUCCUUUGUUGUCAUGGGCAAAACUGUAUAUCCACACAGGACUGUUAGACUCCUAGCCAAUAAAAUCAGACUAAGUCCAUAGGGAUAAGGUAAGUGUAAAUAAAUUUCCAUUGGGGAAGACAGGGCUCAUGGCCCGUGUAUCAAGGUCUCAAGCUGAGCACUGGAGAACUCCAGGGAACACUGUUCAUACAGGCUAUGGUGCGAAGGAAUUCCCCUGUAGGUAUGCCAUACUUCAGUCUCUUAAGAAGCUGAUUAGCAUGAAAGACUGGAAGCUGAUUAUGGACAAUUCAGUUUGAAUUAUUCCUUUCUAUUUUGCUUUGAACUUUCCUCAUACACUUAAGACAUGAGUAAAUCACAUUGAAAAACAUUUGCCAAUUGAAUAUUUUAAAGAUUCAAGAGGUAGCAUGAUAUUGUGCAAUGAACACUGGCCUGACAAUGAGAAGAUAAAAACUCCUUUCCAAUGUGGCCACUUUAUCACUUGAGUGUUUUCUGAGAAAUCGUUUAAGUUUUCUGAGGCUCAGUUCCCUAACUCACUAAAAAGGAGAAUUAGCAGCCUGGCAUGGUGGCUCAUGCCUGUAAUCCCAACACUCUGGGAGGCCGAGGAGGGUAGAUCACCUGAGGUCAGGAGUUUGAGAUCAACCUGUCCAACAUGGCAAAACCCCGUCUCUACUAAAAAUACAAAAAUUAGCUGGGCACGGUGGUGGAUGCCUGUAAUCCCAGCUACUCAGGAGGCUGAGGCAGGAGAACUGCUUGAACCCGGGAGGCAGAGGUUGCAGUGAACCCUAAUUGCGCCAUUGCACUUCAGCCUGGGUGACAAGAGUGAAACUCCGUCUCAAAAAAAAAAAAAAAAAAAAAAAAAGCUUAUUUCUAAGAUAUCAUCUAUUCUCCAAUUUUGUACUUUUAUGAAUUCUGGCAAGAAGGGUUGGAGUGAUUCUGGGAAAGAACAUCCUUAGGCUGCCUUGAAGGGAGAAGAUAAUAUAGCUUUUCAUUUAAAAAAUGCUGAUAUCUACUUGCAAUCAAAAUCUAAGAAAACAUUCAAAAUGUGGUACUUUGCUUGAGGCAGAAUUUCUAACUAUCUUGUGAAUUAAUGAUAAGAUAAAUGAAAUGGCCAAACAAUCCCUUCAGUUUACCAGGUAAGAGGAUACAAAACUCCACACUUGUGCACAAUGAAGCUAUUCAGGUUUUGAUGAUACUUUACAGUGUCCCCUAUUAACAUUCAGCUUUUAAAACUAGUAUUCUGAUAAAGUGACAUUGUAUUAUUAGUUUUUUAUGGCAGUAGUAACUUAGCACUUAAUUAAUCCAGUCAUCUGUGACAUACAUAAACUUAUCCUGUAAAAAAGA
rnacentral:lncRNA from 1 species